UAGGGAAUCUUCCACAAUGGGCGGAAAGCCUGAUGGAGCAACGCCGCGUGUGUGAUGAAGGGUUUCGGCUCGUAAAACACUGUUGUAAGAGAAGAAUGACAUUGAGAGUAACUGUCCAAUGUGUGACGGUAUCUUACCAGAAAGGAACGGCUAAAUACGUGACAG
rnacentral:rRNA from 1 species